rnacentral:rRNA from 1 species
CACGUAGGGGGCGAGCGUUGUCCGGAAUCAUUGGGCGUAAAGAGCUCGUAGGCGGCUCAGUAAGUCGGGUGUGAAACCCCCAGGCUCAACCUGGGGACGCCACCCGAUACUGCUGUGGCUAGAGUCCAGUAGGGGAGUGUGGAAUUCCAGGUGUAGCGGUGAAAUGCGUAGAUAUCUGGAGGAACACCGGUGGCGAAGGCGGCAUUCUGGACUGUAACUGACACUGAUGAACGAAAGCCAGGGGAGCAAACGGG